AUUUAAAUUUUGAGCUUUGAUCCCAUGACUUGAUCUCAAUGUGUUUACCAAAACAAACCAUUUAAGGAUAAUUCUGGGGUUGACCUUCAGCCACAUAACCUAGUUUGGUGGAAAUCAGCCAAAAGACCUGGGAAGAUUUAACCCAACUAACAAACAUGACCUUGAGCCCCAAGGCACAGGAACCCACAUAGAUAUGUGCUUCAAGUUUGGUCCAAAUCAGGAGUGAACAUUUAAAUUUUGAGCUUUGAUCCCAAUGACUUG